GAAAUAAGAUUUGAUCAAAUUAGAGCUGCUAACUCUAAGUCUAGCGGUUCAAUUCCGUUUUUAUUUCU
rnacentral:tRNA from 1 species